CCUACGGGUGGCAGCAGUGAGGAAUAUUGGUCAAUGGGCGCGAGCCUGAACCAGCCAAGUAGCGUGAAGGAUGACUGCCCUACGGGUUGUAAACUUCUUGUAUAAAGGAAUAAAGUGAGGCACGUGUGCAUUUUUGUAUGUACUUUAUGAAUAAGGAUAGGCUAACUCCGUGCCAGCAGCCGCGGUAAUACGGCGGAUCCGAGCGUUAUCCGGAUUUAUUGGGUUUAAAGGGAUCGUAGAUGGGUUGUUAAGUCCGUUGUGAAAGUUUGCGGCUCAACCGUAAAAUUGCAAUUGAUACUGGCAGUCUUUAGUACAGUUGCGGUAGUCGGCCUUCGUGGUGUAGCGGU
rnacentral:rRNA from 1 species